GGGUAAUGGAGGUGACAGAAGAGAGUGAGCACACAAGGUGUUUUCUUGCAUGGUGGGUUUCAUGCUUGAAGCUUUGCGUGCUUACUCUCUAUCUGUCACCCACUUUUCUC
rnacentral:pre_miRNA from 1 species